UACGUAGGUGGCAAGCGUUGUCCGGAUUUAUUGGGUUUAAAGGGUGCGUAGGCGGUCUUAUAAGUCAGUGGUGAAAUACGGCAGCUCAACUGUCGAGGUGCCAUUGAUACUGUAGGACUUGAGUACAGACGAGGUAGGGCGGAAUUGACGGUGUAGCGGUGAAAUGCUUAGAUAUCGUCAAGAACACCGAUAGCGAAGGCAGCUUACUAGGCUGUAACUGACGCUGAGGCACGAAAGUGUGGGGAUCAAACAGG
rnacentral:rRNA from 1 species